rnacentral:rRNA from 1 species
GAGCUAUUGGCUUUGAAUUGUAUUGUGGAAAUGUAUUACCAACAGAGGUGCAGGUGCCAGCCUAUUGAAAUAAAGCGUCAAUGAGGGUGAGAAUCCUGUUUGUCAUGUGCAGCCCUUUGUGCACGGUGUAUAUUUGCUGAGUCACACUCCUUGGCAUUGGAAUGCAAAGUGGGUGGUAAGUUUCAUGUAAAGGUAAACAUGCAAUUGAGACUGAUAGCACACAAGUACCAUGAGGGAAAUAUGAAAAGGACUUUGAAAAGAGAAUUAAAUGAGUUUGUAUUUGCUGAACACAAAGUAAACAGACUUGAUUUGCUUGGUGGGAGUGUUGCACUUGCUUGACAAGAGCUUUGGGCUGUGGGUGUAAUGAUUCUUUCUUUGCAUGCCAGUUUCUAUUUGUACAUCUGAUUACCUUUGCACAUGAAUGAUAAGUCUCCUGUGGGGGGUGGAUUGCAUGUGCAUGUAAUGAUUUGUGUUUUGAUAAAUGUGUCUGGUGUAUGUGUGUGUUCCUGUGCUUGGGGAUGCUUCCUUCCUUGGACUUACAAGCCCUGACACACACAUGCUGGCAAAAUGCUUCUGCUUGACCCGUCUUGAAACACGGACCAAGGAGUCUAACAGAUGUGCAAAGUUUGAAGGUGGUAUACCUUUGUGUGCAAUGAAAGUGUCAGCUGGGAUAUGUGCACCAGCACCCAAUUAAUUAGCGGACAGAGGUUUGAGUUGGAGCAUAUCUAUUAGGACCCGAAAGAUGGUGAACUAUGCCUGAACAGAAUGAAUUCAGAGGAAACUCUGAUGGAGGUUCGUAUCGAUACUGACGUGCAAAUCGUUCGUCAUAUUUGGGUAUAGGGGCGAAAGACUAAUCGAAACCAUCUAGUAGCUGGUUCCCUCCGAAGUUUCCCUCAGGAUAGCUGGAGUUGCUCAGUUUUAUCAGGUAAAGCGAAUGAUUAGAGGAAUUGGGGACAGGUUUGU